rnacentral:rRNA from 1 species
UAACAUGAGAGUUUGAUCCUGGCUCAGAAUCAACGCUGGCGGCGUGCCUAACACAUGCAAGUCGAACGCGGCUAUCCCGCAAGGGAUAGCUGAGUGGCGAACGGGUGAGUAACACGUGGGUGACCUACCUUCGAAUGGGGGAUAACGUCCCGAAAGGGACGCUAAUACCGCAUAACAUCCCGCCUUUGAACAGGUGGAGAUCAAAGCUGGGGAUCGCAAGACCUGGCGUUUGAAGAGGGGCCCGCGUCUGAUUAGCUAGUUGGUGAGGUAACGGCUCACCAAGGCGACGAUCAGUAUCCGGCCUGAGAGGGCGGACGGACACACUGGGACUGAGACACGGCCCAGACUCCUACGGGAGGCAGCAGUGGGGAUUUGUUCACAAUGGGCGCAAGCCUGAUGACGCAACGCCGCGUGGAGGAUGAUGG